GAUCCUGGCUUAGGAUGAACGCUGGCGGCGUGCUUAUACAUGCAAGUCGAACGUGAAGCUGACUUCGGUCAGUGGAAAGUGGCGGACGGGUGAGUAAUACAUAGGAAAUCUGCCCUUAGGAAGGGGAUAACAGUCGGAAACGAUUGCUAAUACCCUAUAUGAGCUUGAUUGCAAUAUCAAUCUUGAAAACUCCGGUGCCUAAGGAUGAGCCUGUGCCUGAUUAGCUUGCUGGUGGUGUAAUGGACCACCAAGGCGACGAUCAGUAGCUGGUUUGAGAGGAUGAUCAGCCACAAUGGAACUGAGACACGGUCCAUACUCCUACGGGAGGCAGCAGUAGGGAAUUUUGGGCAAUGGGCGAAAGCCUGACCCAGCAAACCGCCGCGUGUGUGAUGAAGCCCCUAGGGGUGUAAAACACUGUCAGUAGGGAAGAAUCAAUGACUGUACCUACAGAGGAAGCACCGGCUAAUUCCGUGCCAGCAGCCGC
rnacentral:rRNA from 1 species